UACGAAGGGGGCUAGCGUUGUUCGGAAUUACUGGGCGUAAAGCGCACGUAGGCGGGUCGUUAAGUCAGGGGUGAAAUCCCAGAGCUCAACUCUGGAACUGCCUUUGAUACUGGCGACCUAGAGUCCGGAAGAGGUUAGUGGAAUUCCCAGUGUAGAGGUGAAAUUCGUAGAUAUUGGGAAGAACACCGAUGGCGAAGGCAGCCAUCUGGACCGACACUGACGCUGAGGCGCGAAAGCGUGGGGAGCAACAGG
rnacentral:rRNA from 1 species